UCUGAACGCUGGCGGCGUGGCUAAGACAUGCAAGUCGUACGGUGUAGCAAUACACAGUGGCGGACGGGUGAGUAAUGAAUCGCUAAUGUACCCCGAUGUCUGGGAUAGCCAUCCGAAAGGAUGGGUAAUACCAGAUGAGACCACAGGGCCGCAUGGUCCGGUGCUCAAAGGGUCACCGCAUUGGGAGCAGGCGAUUUCGUAUCAGGUAGUUGGUGAGGAACGGCUCACCAAGCCGACGACGCGUAGCCGGGCUGAGAGGUCGGCCGGCCACAUUGGGACUGAGACACUGCCCAGACUCCUACGGGGGGCUGCAGUAACGAAUCUUCCGCAAUGCACGAAAGUAGUGACGGAGCGACGCCGCGUGCAGGA
rnacentral:rRNA from 1 species